rnacentral:rRNA from 1 species
AUUGAACGCUGGCGGCAUGCCUUACACAUGCAAGUCGAACGGUAACGCGGGGCAACCUGGCGACGAGUGGCGAACGGGUGAGUAAUGUAUCGGAACGUGCCCAGUUGUGGGGGAUAACUGCUCGAAAGAGCAGCUAAUACCGCAUACGACCUGAGGGUGAAAGCGGGGGAUCGCAAGACCUCGCGCAGUUGGAGCGGCCGAUAUCAGAUUAGGUAGUUGGUGGGGUAAAGGCUCACCAAGCCAACGAUCUGUAGCUGGUCUGAGAGGACGACCAGCCACACUGGGACUGAGACACGGCCCAGACUCCUACGGGAGGCAGCAGUGGGGAAUUUUGGACAAUGGGCGCAAGCCUGAUCCAGCCAUGCCGCGUGCGGGAAGAAGGCUUUCGGGUUGUAAACCGCUUUUGUCAGGGAAGAAAAGACUCCUGUUAAUACCGGGGGUUCAUGACGGUACCUGAAGAAUAAGCACCGGCUAACUACGUGCCAGCAGCCGCGGUAA